GCUCUCACUCCUCUCCUUGCUCCCAAUUUAUGAAGAAGGAUGUGUUUGCUUCCCCUUCCACCAUGAUGGUGCAUUUCCUGAGGCCUCCCCAUCCUUGCUGAAUAGUAUUACUGGCUUCUAGAUAAUUAUUGAAAGGAAUGAUAUUUUCUCAAAUUCACUGCACAAGAAGAUAUUCAAUGUUUCCCUUCCCAUUAAGGUGCUAAAUAUGCUAUCAUCUGUAACUCUACCAGAUACAAGCCUCCUGGGUGAUAAGAAAGACAGAGAAGCAUUUUUCAUAGAGAGUUGCCAGGAUUGCUCAGCAUCCAGAUCAACCAUGAAAGGCACCAGGAGAAUGAACAUCUGCCUUUUUCUUGUCCAUGAUUCUUCUACAUAAUGCUACUGAAGCGAAGAUAUUCUUUAAUUGUAGAAACAAGAAGAGAAGCAAAUAUAUUACUAGUAUCCAGAAGCUCCUUCACAGUUUUCAGAUAAUGCUAAUGAGCUAGUUCCUGGUGUGUAUCACAAACUUCUCCCAAAUUCUUCCCCCAAACAUUCCUUCAUGGUGGAGCUAAUUAGACUAUUGCAGCUCCACCUUUCAUUACUGCUUGUAUUUUGUAGAAAUUAGUGCAUAUGUCAUGGGCCUAGGGAGACAUCCAUUGCAGGGAAAUGGGAGUAGGGCAUUCCCAGUUUUAGCUAUAAUUGAAAAUUAUUCUUAGGGACCAAAAUGCCAUUGAAUAAUUCUGCCUUUUCUCCUCCUUGUUCUCUCUCUCUCUCUCUGUCUCUCUCAUAUCUAUCUUCUUUCUUUCUUUCUUUCUUUCUUUCUUUCUCUCUCUUUACUAAGUCUGGAAACCCUUAGAGUUUCUCUUGAAUAUAUCAAGCUAAUUAUUUUUAUUUCUAUUCACUACCUUUCAUGCAUUUCCUACUUCCAAUAAUCCUUUUUUAUUAAAUCUCCCAAUCCAAGUCCACCCUCACUCAAAAGUGACCUUCCCAGAGUAGGGUGUACAACGCGGAGUCCACAUAAACAUCUCUAUACUUCUAAGUUUUAUGCCAAGAGCAUGCUUAUUUUAAUAAGCAAAAAACAAGUAACAAUGAAGAAAAUAAUCAUAAAAUAAAAAUCCAAAAAAAUAGAAUAACAGAAGGUUUUCCUCAGAAUUAAAAAUAAACCUAUUUUUAUGCAGACAUAAAAUGAAAAAGUCUUUUAUGCACAGAUGUGUGAACCGGGACUAUAGCUGGGUAAUCAAAUGGAAAUAAAAGACAGUUUUUCUUACUUUAAGUCAUUUCACUAACAAGCCUACCGAAUGCAUUUGGAAACAAUCUUUCAUUGAUCAUUUUCUAUUAUUAAUUAUGGAUAAGCAGAGAUUUUUCAAAAGCCCCUGAACCUGCUUAGCUUGUACAAAGAUGCCACAAAUCAGAGCCCACGGGUUACAGGAAUUAUUGAUCCUUCUAUAAAACGAUCAUGCAAUCUCCUUCCUGAAUCCAGUAAAAUACUGAUUAAUAGGCUGAAAAGACAUCACUAUAGUAUUAAUCCAAGUACUGAAUUGAACAAUCAGUGGGCAAUCUUUAGUUUUCUCCUUAUGUUAAUGGUAGUUCAAACAACAACUUUGUAUUAUGUAUUUUUCUAUUUUAUGUUUUUCUUGCAAUUAUAACAUGUUUCAGAAAGUUUUUCUAGCAUCUCACCAUCCAUAAAAAUUCUCUCAGGAGGAGGAAGAAUUUUCCUUGUGACAAUUUCAGAGAUAUUCUUGUUUUUAGAUAGAAUUUUUAAUAAACUCUAACAAUUUCCUGA